GUUCACGGGUGGGAAGUCACGGGUUUGACUGCCGUUCCAGUGCACUUUCACCGGUAGAAGGUUGUAAAAACACGAGUUACAGGCUGCCUGGAACGCAUAGGGUCGUGAGUCGUGGUUUUGAAGUCGUAACUCACGAGUUUAAAAGCCUGCCUGGAACGCAGCAUUAGCUUCACUGUUAUUUUAAUUGCGAGAGACGAAAAAAUGUUUGAACAAAGAGCCUAGGUAGGGGGAAGUACACAAAAUACAUGCGGUUUUUUCUAGUGUAAUGUUUAUUAAUAUGUUGGAGGCAAUUCCUCAAAAUCUACUUUAUAAAAUAUACUAUUGUAAACAGAAUAUGGUUGGUAUAUCAACCCUUAUGAUUUGAUAAUAAUGUAUGUUUUUUUUUUUCUCUUUCCCCUGUACUUUUGUUACAUCAUUUUUUUGCUGUCUAGACAUUUUUGUGGUAAGUCAUUUAUAUAACAAUCUCUGUUGCAACAUAAUACUUUUUUUCUGAACAGUUAACCUUGCACAUGAUAUUUAAAUAGUAAUGUUUAAUUUUUCUUUCUUUUGCUCUUUUGAAAACUUUAACUGCUUUAGCUAAACCUCAGCCAAAUUCCUGGUUUUGCUGGGCAACAGCACCUAUUUAAUACAAUUUUUUAUAGCGAACCCAAAGGCUCUUUUCAGAGCCAUCGACAUUGCGUCACUGAUUGGACAUCUUAUUCAUCUUUCAGCUUGCCUCUUAAAAACUGCCAGGAAACACCAAAAAACACAGAUUCAACUAAAAAACAAAGCCUACAAAUUCUACCCAAAACAAACGACCCAUUUUUUUACCCCACCCAGACCACUCUUUUGCCCUAACCCCAAUACACCGACUACCCCCAAACAGAACGCCCCUUUUAACUUUUUGCUUUGACAGAAAGAGUGAGAGCAGAACUACCUACAGCUCCAGUGUGCCCUGCUGCCUUGAGUGUCUUCACAAAGCAACGUUGAUUAGAGGACUGCGUUGGGAAAUCAACACCAUCAACACACACAAUAAUUUACUAUAGUUUUAAAAUUACAUAAUUUCCUAUAGUCUUUUAGACUGUUUACAAUAGAUAAUACACAUUACAGUACUUUUAAAAGUCAUUAAUAUAUCAGUAAAAAAAUUGUUUUGGCAAGUUCAUCUUUGAAACGUAUUACAUUAUAUCUGAGUCUUUUCACAUUUGCCUGUACUCAUACUUACUAUACUAAUUAAUUGCAUUAGUGAUAUUGCCUAGGGAUAUUGUUAUCAUUUCUGUAAAAUAUUGGGGUAAACAGUGUUUAACAGUUCAACAGUUCCAUUGCUAUAGUCUUGUGUGUUUGUAUAUCUAAUUUGUUGACUGUUUUAACUGUGAAAUUAGUACAGUACUUUAAAAGAUUGUUAAUAUAUAAGUAAAAUAUUCUAAGUUUGACUGUUGUUGUAACUGCUAAUUGAAUAGACUACAUUUAAAGGUCAUUAAAAAUUUUUGGUUUGCCAAGUUCGUCUUUGAAUCUUACCACAUUGUAACAUUUACCUUUAUUAGUUGAUUGCAUUACUGAUAUUGCUUUUGGUUAAAAUUUUUGUACAAUAUUGGGGUUGACAGUAUAACAGUUCAAUUGCUGCUUAUAAUAGAUAAUACACAUUACAGUACUUUUAAAAGUCAUUAAUAUAUCAGUAAAAAAAAUAGUUUUUGCAAGUUCAUCUUUGAAACGUAUUACAUUUAUAUCUGAGUCUUUUCACAUUUGCCUAUACUCUACUAAUUAAUUACAUUAGUAAUAUUGCCUUUGGUUAUCAUUUCUGUAAAAUAUUGCGGUUUACAGUUCAACAGUUCCAUUGCUAUAGUCUUGUGUGUUUGUAUAUCUAAGUUCUUGACUGUUUUAACGGUGAAAUUUUAGUACAGUACUUUAAUAUAUCAGUAAAAUAUUCUAAGUUUGACUGUUGUUGUAACUGCUAUUUGAAUAGACUACGUUUAAAGGUCAUUAAAAUAUUUUGGUUUGCCAAGUUCCUCUUUGAAUCUUACCACAUUGUAACAUUUACCUUUAUUAAUUGAUUGCAUUACUGAUAUUGCUUUUGGUUAACAUUUUUGUACAAUAUUGGGGUUGACGGUGUUUGACAGUAUAACAGUUCAAUUGCUAUAGUUUUGUGUGUGUGUAUAUUUAAUUUGUUGACUUGUUACUGAAAUUUCA